CCGUAGGUGAACCUGCGGAAGGAUCAUUACCGAGUGAGGGCCCUCUGGGUCCAACCUCCCACCCGUGUUUAUCGUACCUUGUUGCUUCGGCGGGCCCGCCUCACGGCCGCCGGGGGGCAUCCGCCCCCGGGCCCGCGCCCGCCGAAGACACACAAACGAACUCUUGUCUGAAGAUUGCAGUCUGAGUACUUGACUAAAUCAGUUAAAACUUUCAACAACGGAUCUCUUGGUUCCGGCAUCGAUGAAGAACGCAGCGAAAUGCGAUAAGUAAUGUGAAUUGCAGAAUUCAGUGAAUCAUCGAGUCUUUGAACGCACAUUGCGCCCCCUGGUAUUCCGGGGGGCAUGCCUGUCCGAGCGUCAUUGCUGCCCUCAAGCACGGCUUGUGUGUUGGGCUCUCGCCCCCCGCUUCCGGGGGGCGGGCCCGAAAGGCAGCGGCGGCACCGCGUCCGGUCCUCGAGCGUAUGGGGCUUCGUCACCCGCUCUGUAGGCCCGGCCGGCGCCCGCCGGCGAACACCAUCAAUCUUAACCAGGUUGACCUCGGAUCAGGUAGGGAUACCCGCUGAACUUAAGCAUAUCAAUAAGCGGAGGAAAAGAAACCAACAGGGAUUGCCUCAGUAACU
rnacentral:rRNA from 1 species